GAUGAACGCUGGCGGCGUGCCUAAUACAUGCAAGUCGAACGCAUAGCGCAAGGUGCUUGCACCUUUCAAGUGAGUGGCGAACGGGUGAGUAACACGUGGACAACCUGCCUCAAGGCUGGGGAUAACAUUUGGAAACAGAUGCUAAUACCGAAUAAAACUUAGUGUCGCAUGACACAAAGUUAAAAGGCGCUUCGGCGUCACCUAGAGAUGGAUCCGGGGUGCAUUAGUUAGUUGGUGGGUUAAAGGCCUACCAAGACAAUGAUGCAUAGCCGAGUUGAGAGACUGAUCGCCCGCAUUGGGACUUGAACACGGCCCAAACUCCUGCGGGAGGCUGCAGUAGGGAAUCUUCCACAAUGGGCGAAAGCCUGAUGGAGCAACGCCGCGUGUGUGAUGAAGGCUUUCGGGUCGUAAAGCACGGUUGUAUGGGAAGAACAGCUAGAAUAGGAAAUGAUUUUAGUUUGACGGUACCAGACCAGAAAGGGACGGCUAAAUACGUG
rnacentral:rRNA from 1 species